UACGAAGGUGGCAAGCGUUACUCGGAAUUACUAGGCGUAAAGGGCAGGUAGGUGGUCUGAUUAGUCUGUUGUGGAAGCUCCCGGCUCAACUGGGAGAGGUCAACAGAUACUGUCAGGCUUGAGUAUAGGAGAGGUUACUGGAAUUCCCGGUGUAGCGGUGAAAUGCGCAGAUAUCGGGAGGAACACCAAUGGCGAAAGCAGGUAACUGGACUAUUACUGACACUAAGCUGACGAAAGCUAGGGGAGCAAACAGG
rnacentral:rRNA from 1 species